rnacentral:lncRNA from 1 species
UCCAUUCUAGUCCCAAAGGUGCAAGGUAAAUUGUCUAAAGGCUUAAGGGUAGCUUGGAAUGAUUUUUGUCCCACAAAAAGGGGUUUACGGCCCAAGAGGAGUUCUUGGCCGUAAACUCCUACUAACUUGUGAUUUUGAUGAGCUUUUGGUGUUCUAAACAAGCACAAGUACUAGUAGUUAAAGUCCUUAAGCAUUUGGGGAAAGUUUUAGGGCAUUUAAGCCCUUGAAAAGGGGUUUACGGCCCAAGGGAGUUCCUUGGCCGUAAACUCCUAGAACUUAUGUUUCUUGGUUGCUUUUUGAUCCAUAAAUGUCAUACCCUAUCUCCUAAACAAGUCUUCUAGCAAGGAAUUGGGACUAGGAAGCCAUAAUGUUCUAUUUUGGAGUUUACUCCCCAAGAACGUUCUUGGGCGGUAAACUCCCGGAUCUUGACAUCUAGACAUGUAAUUGUUGUUAACAAGCAUUAAACAAGUAUUGAAACACAUAUAGAAAAGUAGACUCACAAUCUGGGAUGAAAACCCGAAGAUCCGUCAGAGAGAAUAUGGCUUUUCUCUAUUUGGAAUUGUGAAUAAUGAAUUAAUUUAAUUCAGAAACUAUUUAUAGUCCUGGAAUAUUUUGGCAGAAAAUAUUUUUAUUCCUGAUGUUGGACUGUAACAGUAUGAAACUUGAAAUGCCCAAGUUUCACAAAACCAGGAGUAUCCACUCUCCUGAUAUCAUCUAAAACAUAAUCCUAAUGUACACAAACUUGUUCGGAAAAGUUUGAAAAUCACUGAAACUGAACUAGUUUCUAUUGAAUAGAUGAGGUUCGUACAAUGGAAAUUUCGGGUUGUCACAUAUACAUACUGGUGGUAGCCAGGGUUCUCAAACAUAAUACAGUAACGGACAUAUAUGUUAGCAAAUAUUGGAUUUUCGUGAGGAACACUUUCAACAGAUUACAAAUGACCAAUACCGUUAACUUUGCAAGUACAUAGUGAAUACUCCAGGGUUAUGUACAUAGGGAUCCGACAACCAGUGGAAUGUGUGGUGUCCUCUCCAUUCCCUGUUCCUUGUUUGGUUGUGGGCUCGGGGUGGAACCACACAAUCGAUUGUUUGUUCGAUCUGGAUUGUAUAUGAUUUGUAUACAUUAAGUAUUCGCAGAAGGAACUGGUAUGAAUCUUUUUACUCAACAUUCAUUACAUCAAAAAUUAUAAGGUUUUUUGGAGAAACAUAAUGCACUUUUCAAGAACAUAGAACCGUUUUCUAAAACAAAACGCUUAUGAACUCACCAGCUUUAUGCGGAUACUCUUUCAAAAUCGCUUGUAUUCUCGGGAAAUCAGUAGACAGGUACUCCCGCCGGCUUUUGAGAAGAUGGAGCAUAUAGAGUCACGUCUUUAUAUUUUUGCUAAUUUUGAUGUAUAUGAAAAUAAUUCAAAUAGAUGUAAAACCCUUUUUAUAUAUUCAAUUUAAUGGUUGUGUUUACUUUGAUUACUAUGGUGCAAUUGUUGUGAUACAUUACAUGACGUCCUCCACCCCCCGAACGUUUCCACCGUUCCGGUUUUGGGGGUGUGACACAUGAACCAUGUUUCAAACAUUGUCCUUUGCUAUGAUGAUACGAGAUGCUUUGAUAAAACUCACACGUGUGUCAAAACAAUUAUGAAGAGGGAUAUCGUAAUCAUAAUUUUUAGACCUUUUUUCCAUUUCUCACAAGUCCAUGUUAGUGUGUCGGUUAACCACACACGCUCCACUAACGACUUUGAGAAUGCAAAUAUCACAAUUGCUAUCUACUUAAAAUCUACUUAGUUGACACCAUAAUCACAAGAUUUGUCAACCUUGAUUUUUAUAGUGUAUGUGUUCCUAUCCAUAUGAAUUUGUCAAAACCAUAAUCACAAGACAAGGUUAGUGACAAACUCAAAACCAUAUGGAUUGAACGUGUUCAACCUUGAUUUCUUGCCUCUUGGUAGCGCAAGCGCCUACCAUUGCUUCCAAGCUGUUAUGCACACAAUUGAGAACUCACGGAACUCAUAUACAUACACAACUUUACCGGAAUAGGCACAAAAACAAGAAUUAUGUCAACACGAUAGGUUACAAACAUCAAGCCGUGUACUAGCAAUAAACUAUAGGUUUUAUCCUUGAUUAGCUCUUGAAACUUUCAAGACCUUUAAGACUCCCACUGUUCUCUUGACAUAUAAGUUUCUCUUUGUCAAGAACCAUUCCUUGACAACCAAACAAAUAUUCAAGAGUCAGUGCAGAUUCUUAUCAAGAUAAACACUUCAUUGGCCUUAGUUGGUCUUUGUUUUAUCCAAAACAUCACAACUUACCAAUUUCAAAUGUACAAGAGUAGAAAACAUUUUACUCUUACAUUUGACAAGUGUUAUAAACCUUCUUUAAGAAGUGUCACUCAAGUUACAAUCUUGGAGUAUGACUCUAAGACUUGUUUUGGAACGAAGUAUGACUCGUCUUCUUGAUUUCAACCACUUCAAUAAUUCAUGACUUUGCUUCUUAUCCAUAAGAAUGCACUAAGAUGUCCCAAGAGGAUGAAUUGUGAUAUGGUCUCACAAUCAUUAAGAUGAUCAUAAAACAUGAUACUAAAGUACUCUCCCAUCCUUUCAGAUUUGAGAAACUUUUAUCUUUCUGCCAAAUUUGAUUCUUCUCAUUCGUUCUGCCAUACAUUGAAACUUUUCCAAUGCUUCAGAAUUAUACUUAAACUAUUAAGCAUAACCAUAUUUACUAAACUCUAGUAAAUCAUGAGGAAUAGUCUUAUCGAUCUUUUUGAUGGACUUUGACCUGCACACACCCAAUGUAACCGAUCCUUUAGUCUUUCACCUGACUCACAUAUACAUGUGGUCAGGGAAUUUCUCUUAACUUUCCAAAAAUGAAAUUUUCAUUCAUCAUGCAAUACAACCUACAUGAUUCCAAGUUUCGGUCCAAUUGAAACUUGGGUGAUGAGAAUCUUUCCUUAUUUGGUAAAUUUAGACACUACCACAGAUGAAAGAAUCAAUUCAUUAUUGCUAGAAACAUACACACAUUAACUUUUCAUAAACUCCAUUGCAAGGAGAUAUAAAAUGAAGUAAAACAAAAUUUUUAUUCAUUUAUAAAAUACGAAAAAAAAAUCCUUAUAAUGCAACUUUAAAUGGAAACUAUGCUAUUACAUAUUUCCUAGCAAUCUAUCAUAACUCCUAAGCAGCAGCUUAGGAAUCCGAUCUUCGAACCAUGCGAUUGAAAUCCAUCUUUGCAAUCAGAUUUAGCAUACUCUUCUUUUAAGCUUCCUUCCCUUUUCUUAAUCCUGCAAAACAUUAAAAUGCAACCCGAUCACAUCAUGUAUUAAGGAUCAACAAUUAGGAACUUAACAGAGUUAUAUAGUUGACUUACCUAAAGUAGAACCAUACAUUCUGACUAAAGAUCUCAGGUAGUCAGGGCAGCUUCGAUUCCAAUGUCCCUUUCCUUGGCAAUAGAAACACACAGGCUCAUCUGAGCCAGCACAUAUAGCAGUCUCAUAAAUGGCCUUUCUCUUAUGAUCAUCACUUUUGACCAUGGCCAACUCCUUCCCUUUAGGAGAAGGAAUCAUUUUUGGGAUGUCCAUGUCAGCUUGGGAGGCAGACCUUCCAUUCCAAGUUGCUUAACCAUUGCGCCAAAUCAUUGUUGAUUCAGCAACAAUUAGCAAAUAGGUAAGAUCUACUAGGGUCAUGUCUAGAUCUGUCACAUAGUAGUCUUUAACAAACUCACUAUAUGACUCAGGAAGUGAUUGAAGAACCCAGUUAAUAGCCAACUUCCUUGGGAACCCGACACCCAUCAUCCUUAGCUUGUCAAUGUGUGCCUUCAUCUCUAAGACAUGUGCACACACUGGCUUUCCAUCCUUGUGUUUACUAUCCAAUAGGACUUGAGUGAGUUUGAACUUUUCAAGUCUUUGAGCUUAUGGGUCGGGGAGAACAAUUGGAGAAGGUGGAGGAAGUGAAGCAUGAUGUUGUGGGACAUCAUCUUCAAGAGAUUUGGGAAGAUCAUACUUGUCUGAAUCAGACAUCUACAAUGGGAGAAAUUCAGGUUAGUUAAUUUAAAAUCCUUAAUAUAACACCCAAUAUGAAAUAUUAAGGCUAGGACCCAACACAAUAUUUUAUAACUUGGAAGAGGGAUGUCGUAAUCCAAGAUAUAGAAUAUUUGAAGGUAGGCGAAUGACGAUUCACCAAUUUCCACCAUGAAAAACGAAAUGAUUUAUUAGGUUUUAAUUGGAUUCGAAACUCCUAGAUCUUUUGAGAUUCAUUGAACUUUUCAAUGGCAUGUUUCAUUCUCGAUUGUGCCCUUCAGAUUUUGUGACUAGGAUGCCGAGGAUCACAAAACAAGAUGUGAAUAACCAUGCAAAUUCACUUGGUACCCUUAAUAUUAUUACCUAAUCAAAAUGACGGUUAACCACACACGCUCCACCGAUCUAUGAUAAACAUUAAGUCACCCUUUUCCAUCCUUACUAAUUCAAGUUGGUGUGCCGGUUAACCACACAUGCUCCACCAACGACUUGGUAAGGUACAAAGUGUAAAUUUCAUGGGUUAGCACCAAAUUCACAUUUUCCUAAAGUAACUAAGAUUGGGAUUUUAUAAAAGGUUUAGUUACUUUAUAUUNCCCUCCACCAGUCAACGAAGCGGUGGGUGAGAGUGGACACCCAUUAAACUACCAUUUUAUAGGCAGUAACCUUAUACCCCCCUCAUAGACUGUGUUCGUGAAUGAGGCCUACUAAUGGUAAGACUGACUUAUUCUUAUAUAUAUGUGUGUAUAUAUAUAUAUAUAUAUAUAUAUAUAUAUAUAUAUAUAUUAUUAACUUAUAAUACAAUAAAGUAUAAGGGUUGAAUUUUAACUUUUAAAACUCUAAGGGCUGGAACUAAAGUGUGUGUGAGACUUUACAAAUACCUAAACUUGAGGGCAAGUUUUGAACAAUUCAAAAACUUUUGGAUUUUCAUAACUUAUGAGUUUAAAUAAGGUUUUAAAAACUUUUAAUGAAGAGACUCUUGGUCAUCCAUAACUUCAGGACAAGUUAUGGAGUCCAUAAAAACAUUUAUGAUGAAAAGACUCUUCAACUUGUGAAACCUAUGGUUUUUAAUGGACUUUAAAGAAAAGACUUUUGGUAAUCCAUAACUUGAGGAAAAAUUAUGGAUUCCAUUAAAACACAUCAAAAUCAAGAAUUAGCUAACAAACAAUUUGCAAAUAAUUCCUAUGAUCUAACAAAACUCAUAAGUUCAUGAACAUCCACAUCAACAAUUUCAAGAAUCAUAUGAACACAUACAAAGCUUGAAAUUUUGAUAAUAUACUUUGAAAUUGGAUUAGCAUAAUCAUUACAACAUAAAAAACAAGUUUUAUAAGUCCAAAACAGUUUAAUGUAAUGAUUUUAGUCCAAUUCCAGCUUAAAAACUUGAAAAACUGCACUCUAGGCCUCUUACUCGUCGAGUGCAUGAACCAACUCGACGAGUAGGAUGAAUGUAUUCUUGGACUCAUCGAGUCUCCCCAUGGACUUGAUGAGUCCACUGUCCAGACAGCAAAAAAUUUCUAUUUUUCAAGUGUUUGCAUCAAGUAUUCAAGAAAACAAGCCUAGUCUCCGAUACAACUUGUCACACCCCAAAACCAAGAACGGCGGAAACGUUCUGGGGCGGAGGACGUCAUGUAAGGUAAUCACAACACAGUAAAUGUAAAUAGGCAAACAACAUCAUCCAUUGCAUUAAAUAUAUAAAUUUAAUACAUGCGUGUUCUGUUACAGUUUUAGACACCAAAAAUAUAACGUAAAUCAAAAUAAUAAAAUGAUGAGUCUUAGAACACUCCAUCUUCUCAAAAGCUGGCAUCGGUACCUGUCUACUGAUGACCUGAGAAUACAAAUUAUUUUGAAAGAGUUUAUCAGCAUUAAGCUGGUGAGUUCAUAAGUAUUUUUGUGUCAAUGUUCGUUGUCAAAAACGUUUGAACCUGUCUCAAUGUAUAAGUUUGUAAAAGUUUGAAUCUCUCAGAAAAUCCCAUAUUUUCUAUAAAAGUAGCCUUCUACCAAGGCUUAACUGUUUUGUAAACUCGUCUGUUGUAAAAGUGUAUAAUUACCCAAGUAUAACUAUCAUUUGUCAAAAUAUAGUUUGUACAUUAAUGCUUAAGUGAGAUUAUCACCAAAAUAUGUAAUGGGUAAAUCAUUGUAGUACUGUAGUUUUGUAAUAUAAGAACUACUGUCGUACUAGUUACUACUACCUUAAACCGGAUUUAUAUUAAGGUAUAAUGUGAUAAUUGCACCAUACUAUCGACUGAUAACAACGACAUAAAGAACGGUCGUAAUAACGGAAUGACGUUUGGCACCCGCAGACCUGCAGGUCCGGCUGUAGCUAGCAGCAAGGUGUAGGAUAGUCAAUCCAGUAUAGAUCUAUACGCAAACUCAACGCUCUCCCUCCAAGAGAAUUCUGGCUACAACUCGGGCCAUGACAUUUAAGGCAUGCUCCGAUACAGUGGAUCACAUUUGUUAUCGUAUUCUUGCAUGUGUGAUGAAAUGUUUCUUGUUCUAGUAUAGUUGUAUAUGUUCUCGUAGUAUAGUUGUAUAUAUUCUCUUCCUAGUAUAGACUCAUGAAUGAACUGACUCAUUGAUCUAGCAGUUGUAAUAGUAUGAUUCUGUGUUACCCCGAUGGUAACUUGUUAACAGUGCGUUUAGUACAUAUGAUUAUGGAAGUACUUUUAUGUCUAUAUAUGUAUAUUUGAUAUAUAAUUAAUAUGGAAACGACCUUCGGAUGGUCACCCAAAAUCCUAUCAGACCACAUCCAAAUCGAGGAAAAGGAAACAAGGUGGAUAGCCUUCCUAAGUCCUUUAAACAUUAUUUAUACGUCUAUACAUAUAUGGGCAUGCAAUUUGUAAUAUAAAAGCAUAAAUAAGUAUUUAUAAGGCAUUUGAAACAUAAGUAUUAUUUUUAAAGAAAGAUUGACUUGAUGUCAAUCUAUAAAACCAUUUGAAGGUGUAGAUUUGAUUAAAACAGUUUAAGUAUAAGGAACAUUUGCUUAAAUCACAGUUGCAGUGUAAAUUCGAAAAGUAAAUGGGUUUGGAAAACAUUUAGAAGUAAAACAGUUUGAUAGAUAGUUUGAAUAGUGAUAAAACCACUGAUUUCCCUAGUUAUUAAUCACAUGUGAUUAGUACAAUCACAUGUGAUUGAAACAAUAACUAUAAGUAUUUAACUUGUAUUCCCCCCCUUUUGAAAGCAUAUAAAAGCAUUUAGAAUAUUUAACAGGUUGAUUAAGGGGUAUGAAACUCACUUGAUUGAUUGAAGAAAGCGAGAUGGAAAACCGGGCAGAGUUUCGUCUCGGAAAACGGAUUUUUCUCGGGAUUCUCGGGAAUCUCGGGAGUAAAAUCGACCCUCGGGACUUGAGCAAAAAGACCAGAGCUUCGGGUUAUAACGGGCACGGAAAACGAGACAAAGUUGUGAGAGAGAGGAGAGAAAUGAGCAACAUUUUCGGAAAGCCUCGCAUCCUAUUUAUAGGAAGGCUGAACCGCCUCCGAACGCGGGGCGUACGCUCGUACGCAGCGCGUACGCGUACGUCAUGCAUGACCGAAGCCUCGACUGCCUCGGUUCGGAUGGGACGGGUUGCUGGGUACGCGGGUCGGAUGGGACGGCGGGUCGGACGGGACAGCGGGUCGGACGGGUCGGAGCUUCGGACGGGUCGGACGGGUUAGAACUCUUCGGAUAGUGCGACGUGGACGAUCCGAGACCCUCGAUCUCAGUACGCGGGGCGUACGAAGGUACGCAGGGCGUACUUCGGUCCAAUCCGAUGACUCCCCUUCGGAUAUUACCGGGAAUUUAUAAUUAAAUUCUUAUUUAUUUUAAAUAAACUUCAAAAAUUCAUAUCUCUCUCAUACGAACUCCGUUUUUGACGUUCUUUAUAUCCACGCGAAGGUGAGACCAUGAUCUACGACUUUCGUUUAGAUUCCGUUGGCAAAUUCCGAAAUUAUUUUUAUUAUUUAUUUAUUAAAAUGACGUGAUUAAGGAAUUUCUUCAAAAAUUCAUAACUUCCUCAUCCGAAGUCAGAUUUGGACGUUCUUUUUAUGUACGCAAACCUUGAUAUGAUUCCUAUUACUUUAUUUAAUCCGAAUAAGAUUUUAGGAAGGUUACAUUUUGACCUAAAUUUGAUCGGUUUUACAUUACAUUGACUCGAAAUAUCGGGUUGUCACAUCAUCCCCCCGUUAGAAGGAAUUUCGUCCCGAAAUUAGAAUUUUAAGCAAGCUAGAAUUUACAAAUAACUAAGCAAAAA